rnacentral:rRNA from 1 species
CCCUUAGAUGCUCUGGGCCGCACGCGCGCUACACUGAUGCAUUCAACGAGUGUACCUUGGCCGAGAGGCCUGGGCAAUCUUUUGAACGUGCAUCGUGAUAGGGAUAGAUUAUUGCAAUUAUUAAUCUUGAACGAGGAAUUCCUAGUAAACGCAGAUCAUCAAUCUGCAUUGAUUACGUCCCUGCCCUUUGUACACACCGCCCGUCGCACCUACCGAUUGGAUGGUCCGGUGAAGCCUCGGGAUUGUGGCGGUUGCCUUUAUUGGUGUCCGCCGCGAGAACUUGUCUAAACCUUAUCAUCUAGAGGAAGGUGAAGUCGUAACA